AGUGGUAAUAGCUUAAUCUAAAAGCAUUGGCCUUGUAAGUCAAAGAUGCAUUAAAAUAUGCUUACCUCUU
rnacentral:tRNA from 1 species